rnacentral:rRNA from 1 species
CAGUCGCCGCGGUAAUACGAAGGGUGCAAGCGUUAAUCGGAAUUACUGGGCGUAAAGCGUGCGUAGGCGGUGAGUUAAGUCUGCUGUGAAAUCCCCGGGCUCAACCUGGGAAUAGCAGUGGAUACUGGCUCGCUAGAGUGUGUCAGAGGAUGGUGGAAUUCCCGGUGUAGCGGUGAAAUGCGUAGAGAUCGGGAGGAACAUCAGUGGCGAAGGCGGCCAUCUGGGACAACACUGACGCUGAGGCACGAAAGCGUGGGGAGCAAACAGGAUUAGAUACCCGCGUAGUCCCUGUCUCUUAUAC